rnacentral:rRNA from 1 species
UGGGGAAUAUUGGACAAUGGGCGAAAGCCUGAUCCAGCCAUGCCGCGUGUGUGAAGAAGGUCUUCGGAUUGUAAAGCACUUUAAGUUGGGAGGAAGGGCAGUUACCUAAUACGUGAUUGUUUUGACGUUACCGACAGAAUAAGCACCGGCUAACUCUGUGCCAGCAGCCGCGGUAAUACAGAGGGUGCAAGCGUUAAUCGGAAUUACUGGGCGUAAAGCGCGCGUAGGUGGUUAGUUAAGUUGGAUGUGAAAUCCCCGGGCUCAACCUGGGAACUGCAUUCAAAACUGACUGACUAGAGUAUGGUAGAGGGUGGUGGAAUUUCCUGCGUAGCGGUGAAAUGCGUAGAUAUAGGAAGGAACACCAGUGGCGAAGGCGACCACCUGGACUGAUACUGACACUGAGGUGCGAAAGCGUGGGGAGCAAACAGGAUUAGAUACCCUUGUAGUCCCUGAGCGGGCUGGCAAGGCGCAU